rnacentral:rRNA from 1 species
GGCGUGCUUAACACAUGCAAGUCGAACGAUGAACCACUUCGGUGGGGAUUAGUGGCGAACGGGUGAGUAACACGUGGGCAAUCUGCCCUUCACUCCGGGACAAGCCCUGGAAACGGGGUCUAAUACCGGAUAACACUUCCACUCGCAUGGGUGGGGGUUAAAAGCUCCGGCGGUGAGGGAUGAGCCCGCGGCCUAUCAGCUUGUUGGUGAGGUAACGGCUCACCAAGGCGACGACGGGUAGCCGGCCUGAGAGGGCGACCGGCCACACUGGGACUGAGACACGGCCCAGACUCCUACGGGAGGCAGCAGUGGGGAAUAUUGCACAAUGGGCGAAAGCCUGAUGCAGCGACGCCGCGUGAGGGAUGACGGCCUUCGGGUUGUAAACCUCUUUCAGCAGGGAAGAAGCGCAAGUGACGGUACCUGCAGAAGAAGCGCCGGCUAACUACGUGCCAGCAGCCGCGGUAAUACGUAGGGCGCGAGCGUUGUCCGGAAUUAUUGGGCGUAAAGAGCUCGUAGGCGGCUUGUCGCGUCGAUUGUGAAAGCCCGGGGCUUAACCCCGGGUCUGCAGUCGAUACGGGCAGGCUAGAGUGUGGUAGGGGAGAUCGGAAUUCCUGGUGUAGCGGUGAAAUGCGCAGAUAUCAGGAGGAACACCGGUGGCGAAGGCGGAUCUCUGGGCCAUUACUGACGCUGAGGAGCGAAAGCGUGGGG